CAACAGCGUAUAUUAAAGUUGUUGCAGUUAAAAAGCUCGUAGUUGGAUUUCUGGUCGGAAGCUCCUGUCCUCUGAUGAGCGUACAAGUGCGUCCUACCAUCCUUCUGUUAACCUUUAAGGCUUUCGCGGCUUUCUAGGGGCUCAGAUAUUUUACCUUGAGAAAAUUAGAGUGUUUCAGGCAGGCUAGCGCCGGAAUACAUUAGCAUGGAAUAAUGGAAUAGGACUUUUGCCUCUUCUGUUGGUCAUGAGGCUCGAGUAAUGAUUAAUAGGGAUAGUUGGGGGCAUUAGUACUUAACUGUCAGAGGUGAAAUUCUCGGAUUUGUUAAAGACUAACUUAUGCGAAAGCAUUUGCCAAGGAUGUUUUCAUUAA
rnacentral:rRNA from 1 species